UACGGAGGGUGCGAGCGUUGUCCGGAAUCAUUGGGCGUAAAGGGCGCGUAGGUGGCCCGGUCAGUCCGUGGUGAAAGCGCGGGGCUCAACCCCGCGUCGGCCAUGGAUACUGCUAGGCUUGAGCACUGUAGAGGCAGGCGGAAUUCCGGGUGUAGCGGUGGAAUGCGUAGAGAUCCGGAAGAACACCGGUGGCGAAGGCGGCCUGCUGGGCAGUAGCUGACACUGAGGCGCGACAGCGUGGGGGAGCAAACAGG
rnacentral:rRNA from 1 species